GAUGAACGCUGGCGGCGUGCCUAAUACAUGCAAGUAGAACGCUGAAGGAAGGAGCUUGCUCUUUCCGGAUGAGUUGCGAACGGGUGAGUAACGCGUAGGUAACCUGCCUGGUAGCGGGGGAUAACUAUUGGAAACGAUAGCUAAUACCGCAUAACAGUAGAUGUUGCAUGAUAUCUACUUAAAAGGUGCAAUUGCACCACUACCAGAUGGACCUGCGUUGUAUUAGCUAGUUGGUGAGGUAACGGCUCACCAAGGCGACGAUACAUAGCCGACCUGAGAGGGUGAUCGGCCACACUGGGACUGAGACACGGCCCAGACUCCUACGGGAGGCAGCAGUAGGGAAUCUUCGGCAAUGGACGGAAGUCUGACCGAGCAACGCCGCGUGAGUGAAGAAGGUUUUCGGAUCGUAAAGCUCUGUUGUAAGAGAAGAACGAGUGUGAGAGUGGAGAGUUCACACUGUGACGGUAUCUUACCAGAAAGGGACGGCUAACUACGUG
rnacentral:rRNA from 1 species